ACAGGAACGGAGCUGCUUCCCGCCUUCGGAGGCUUCCCUGAGCUGUGGGAAGAGCACCCGGAACCCGGUUC
rnacentral:sRNA from 1 species